rnacentral:tRNA from 1 species
UAAGUGUUAGUCUAUCAAGACAUUUAAUUUCGACUUAAAAAAUCCGGACCUUACACCGGACACUUAU